GUUCAGAACGUCGUGAGACAGUUCGGUCCCUAUCCGUCGUGGGCGUAGGAAAUUUGAGAGGAGCUGUCCUUAGUACGAGAGGACCGGGAUGGACAUACCUCUGGUGUACCAGUUGUCGUGCCAACGGCAUAGCUGGGUAGCUAUGUGUGGACGGGAUAAGUGCUGAAAGCAUCUAAGCAUGAAGCCCCCCUCAAGAUGAGAUUUCCCAACUUCGGUUAUAAGAUCCCUCAAAGAUGAUGAGGUUAAUAGGUUCGAGGUGGAAGCAUGGUGACAUGUGGAGCUGACGAAUACUA
rnacentral:rRNA from 1 species